AGAGAUUAGUUUGAUCCUGGCUCAGAUUGAACGCUGGCGGCAUGGCUAAAACAUGCAAGUCGAACGCGAAAGGGGCUUCGGCCCCAAGUAGAGUGGCGAAAGGGCGAGGAAUAUAUUUUUACGUACCCCGAGGUCAGGGAUAACCCAAGGAAACUUGGAUUAAUACCUGAUGUGGUGCUUCGGCAUCAAAGGCUUGCCGCCUCGGGAGCGGAGAAUAUCCUAUCAGGUUGUUGGUGAGGUAACGGCUCACCAAGCCUUAGACGGGUAGCGGGUGUGAGAGCAUGACCCGCCGCAUCGGGACUGAGACACUGCCCGGACUCCUACGGGAGGCUGCAGUAACGAAUCUUCCGCAAUGCGCGAAAGCGUGACGGAGCGAUGCCGCGUGCAGGAUGAAGCCCUUCGGGGUGUAAACUGCUGUCAGGGACCAGUAACACAAUGAACAAUCCCAAAGGAAGGGCCGGCUAACUUCGUGCCAGCAGCCGCGGUAAUACGAAGGGCCCGAGCGUUAAUCAGAAUCAUUGGGCUUAAAGCGUACGUAGGCGGACAUACAAGCGUCGGGUGAAAUCCCUCGGCUCAACCGAGGAAUUGCUUGGCGAACUGUAUGUCUUGAGGCAAGUAGAGGCUGUCGGAACGCUAGGUGGAGUGGUGAAAUGCGUUGAUAUCUAGCGGAACGCCAAAGGUGAAGACAGGCAGCUGGGCUUGUUCUGACGCUCAUGUACGAAAGCGUGGGUAGCGAACGGGAUUAGAUACC
rnacentral:rRNA from 1 species